rnacentral:rRNA from 1 species
CCCUUAGAUGUCCUGGGCCGCACGCGCGCUACACUGAUGCAUUCAACGAGUUUUACCUUGGCCGAGAGGCCUGGGCAAUCUUUUAAACCUGCAUCGUGAUAGGGAUAGAUUAUUGCAAUUAUUAAUCUUGAACGAGGAAUUCCUAGUAAACGCAGAUCAUCAAUCUGCAUUGAUUACGUCCCUGCCCUUUGUACACACCGCCCGUCGCACCUACCGAUUGGAUGGUCCGGUGAAGCCUCGGGAUUGUGGUUCUUGCCGCUUUAUUGUGGCGUGACCGCGAGAACUUGUCUAAACCUUAUCAUCUAGAGGAAGGUGAAGUCGUAACA